UACGGGGGAUGCGAGCGUUAUCCGGAUUUAUUGGGUUUAAAGGGCGCGUAGGCGGGACGGCAAGUCAGCGGUAAAAGACUGCAGCUAAACUGUAGCACGCCGUUGAAACUGUCGACCUGGAGACGAGACGAGGGAGGCGGAACAAGUGAAGUAGCGGUGAAAUGCAUAGAUAUCACUUGGAACCCCGAUAGCGAAGGCAGCUUCCUAGGCUCGGUCUGACGCUGAUGCGCGAGAGCGUGGGUAGCGAACAGG
rnacentral:rRNA from 1 species